UAUCAAAAAGGCACCCCCUAAUUGGCACCGGUUCAGUCCAAACCGGUGCCAAAAAUGGCCUACAAAAUUGGUGGGAAGCUGAACCAGAGUAAAAGGCACCGGUUCACUUCAAACCGGUGCCAAAAUCAUAAAGGCCACCGGUUUGAACCGGUGCCUUUGUGAACCGGGCCUUUAAAAUUUUUUUUUAAAAAACUGGCCUCUUAUAACCCCUAACCCUAAAACAGUCAACAUCCUCUCUCCUCUCACUCCGCCUCUCCCUUCUCCUCUGCUCUCCCUUCUCCUCUGCUCUAGCUCUCCUUCAUUCCCAACAACAACACCAACACCAACAACAGCAACAUCUCCGCAACACCAACAACAACAACAUCUCUGCAACAACAACAACAUCUCCGCAGCAACAACAACAACACCACCGCAACAACAACACCACCGCAAAGCCGCCGCCACCAUCUCUUCUCUUUAAUUUUUUAUGGGUUUCAUCAAAAAAAAUUUGGUUUAAUCCACCACAAACACAUGCAUGAGCAAGGUAUCUUGAGUUAGAUCUUAAAUGGAAGAAUCAAGAUCAAGAAUAUUGAGUUUAUUUUUUUUAUUUAUAUUGUAAUAUUUUUUUGAAUAUGUUGUAAUUGAACUACUACUGUAUUAAUCUAUAUUGUAAAAUUGUUUUGAUUAUAUAUUGUAAAUAUUUGAUUAUGUUGA